GACUUUACAGGGGAAUAUUUGGUCUCACUCAUAUAACAAUUGCUUGAUUUUUUUGUGUUGUGUGAUCAUGACUUACUUUUGUUAAAGAUGUGCGAAUUUAUUUAAAAAUUUUGAUAUUUUAUAAUUUUUUUCAAUUUAAUCUUAAGAAUUUAUUUGAACAUCAUUGAAAUUUAAAGGGUUGAGGAGAACUUGAGUUGUGCUGAAAUACAUUAUCCUUCUAUUCAUGGGUUGAGGAAGAGAUAUAGAUAGUUUCAAACAUUAUUGUAUAAGUUCUAAUCAUAUAUGCUCUUUUUUUUACAAUAAUACUUAAAACUACCCAUAGCCCCUCCCCAACUAAUUAAUAGGACGAUAAUGCGUUUCAGCGCAUUUAAACACAUGUUCUCCUACAUUGACACCAAUACUCAUGUUAAUCGAGUUAAGACUCAAUCAACAUGUAGCACCCCAAACUCGGCCCAGAAGUUAUGACCGGAUCCGGCAUGCCAUAUCAAAAACGUUAAAAAAAUUUCCAUUCUAAGUCUAGAAAAUCGUACUUGAUGUUCAAAAGAUUAAUUCAUUAAGGAUUAAAGUGAAUGGAAGCUGUGCAUCAGGUAGGAAACCGGAAAAGAGGUGGUGAGUCCAUCGGACUGCUUAAGUACCAAGCUCCCUUCGGAUCCAAUCUUAGACAUGCAUACCGCCAUUGCCACACCUUAAUGUCAUGGAUAUUUCUAGGAAACCGAUUUGAUUAAGUCAUUUUUAGGAAAACUGAUUAAUUUUGGAAAAUACUUUCAUUGCAGAAGCUUUGCUUGUUGUCGUGUUAUUUUGAAAUCAACUGUUGUUUUUGAAAACGCGCCCUAAAGCUAUCCAAUUUCAACAGUUAAAAUAAGUAUUACCUAUCUUAGUAAUACAUAUUAAAACCAUCAAAAAUAGUUAAGCGGCCUUAUUACAUUUAAAAACCCAAAACUUCAAUCGUAAAUAAAAGGAUGUCCAGUUCACCAGAAGAAAAUCAAACUUUCAGAAUGGGUGGUCACUCUGAAUUCCCUCACAGCUCCAAGCCCACUAUGGUUGGGGAUUUCCUGCGUGGAUGAAAAUAAAAGGGGUGAGUUUGGGGAAACUCAGUGUGUAAAUUAACCCAACCAUAGUCUAUAUCAGCUCAAACCACAGAAAUAGAAUAAGUUGGCCUUAGCCCAGAAAAGAAUUUAGAAUAAAGCCUAUAGGCCCAUAACAGAACAGAACAGAUAUUACAUGUUUAUGCAGAAACCCAACCAUAUCCAACCGUAUACACCCCCAUACCAACCUUACAUCAUGUGGGGAGACAACUCGACCCACCCAACCGCUACACACCACAGAAUUUGCAACAUGGUUGCCAAAACAGAUAAUGUGACAGAGUCACCAGAUACAGAUAAUCGUGGCAGAGCCACCAGAACAGAUAUAUGUGGCAGAGCCACCAGAUCAGAUAUUUGUGGCAGAGCCACCAGAUCAUAUAUUUGUGGCAUAGCCACCAGAACGCUUCCUCCAUAAUAUAACCCAUGUCCCCAUGCAACAGAUAUAUAAUCAUGGCAUACAUCAUACAGAAUCAGAUCGUCAUGCUUUUCAGUCAAAAUUAACCCUAGGGGUAUAACGGUAAUUUUGCACCUAGGGGUAUAACAGUAAUUUUCCAUACAUAGGGGUAUUAUAGUAAUUUAGCUACUUUUAGGGUUUUCAUGCAUAUCCUAACUAUUUACGUACUAUCAGAACACUUACCGCGCAUACUUACCGAAUUGGGCCCGUUGGCCCAUGAACCCGAUCUUUGGCUCAUUAAGCCCAAAUUAUCAAAAUGUACGAAAUCGCGCGUACUGCAGUUUAUUACUUUAGAUUACCAAAUAUACAAACCCAACUAUCUUACAAGAAUUCGCACACUCGCAAAUUCCCAAAAUACCGACUUUUCGGCAUUUCGGCUUUUCGGCUUUUGCCAAUCUAGUCUAUGAGAGGGUGUCAGUUACACACCUGUUUGCGACGAUAUGCUGACGAGAUCCACACACGAACUGCCUACAAUUGGAUUACUAACACGUUAAUCUAACUAUUCAAAUACAAACUACAUAUUAACCCCUUACAAUAUUCGGCCAACCACACCUACAGAUCAUAGUAAGCUUAUAAGAAAUCAAUAAGCAACUCAUUAACAAAUUUUGUCAAUGUUUACCACAUAAUCAUAAUUUCACUGCAAGAUGUCUUCCUGAGCAACAGUCACUAAAUUAUUUAUAACUGGAGCUACGAAACUCCAAAUCAAGUGCCGUUAAUUUUCCCUGAAAAUAGACUCAUAUAUCUUCUAUCCAUAAAAUUUUCAGAAUUUUUUUGUUUAGCCAAUCAAUACCAGAUUUUUCUCAAAGUUUCCCAUGUUUCACUGUUUGACUAAUCUGACCACCCUUCAUUACGAAUCAAAUUUCUCAUUGUACAGAAUUCAAAAUAUGUUCUUGUUUAUUUCAUUAGAAACUAGACUCAAUAAGCUUUAAUUACAUAAUUUAUGCAGCUUCUAACUCAUCUUCCACAAUUUAUGGUGAUUUUCCAAAGUCACGUUACUGCUGCUGUCCCAAGCAGAUUUAUUACCAAAUCACUCUUUCACACCUAACUUGCAUGCUUGUUAUUUAAACAUGUAUAUCACCAAUCAAUCAUCACAUAUCUAUGAUUUUACUUAAGUAUAAUCUCCAUUUCAUCAUUUUAAAGCACAACAUGUUAGCUGAUUUUUCCCUUUAACAUCUAAGGCACAUGCAUGCUUAUUUGUUUGGCUCAACUUCACCUAUCUUCCAUUUUUCAUCAAAAGAACAUGAAACAACAAUCAUUUCCUUCAUUUUAAUUCAUGACUAAAUGCUCACAACACAACUAAAAAUCAAAAUAUACUUCAACAGUUAAGGUAGAAUCAAGAAGAACUCAUGAACCUCAAAAUAGCAGCAAGGUACCAAGAACUUACCUUCAAUUUUCCUCCUCCUAAUGACCAAAUACUCAAGAGCUUUCUCCUCUCCUUUCUCUUCUCUAACUUUCAGCUAUGAUGAACAAAGAUGGACAAAACUUUGUUCUUUUCACCCCUUUUUCUUUUAAUAAAACUUCAUAUUUCAUCCAUUUAAUUCUUUAAUACAAAAGACAUGAAAUUCAUAUCAUGAAACAUUUACCUAACCCAUUAUCAUGGAACAUUUACCUAACCUAUUAUCAUGAAACAUUUACCUAACCCAUUAUCAUGGAACAUUUACCUAACCUAUUAUCAAGGAACAUUUACCUAACCUAUUAUCAAUUUGUAUCAAUUUGUACCAUAAAUUAUAGAUAUCAAGUGUACAUUUUGUCUAUAACAACAUAAUGGCUGGCCACUUCAUGUAAAAUGGGAGGUUUGUCAUGCAAAUCCUCCUAUUUUGCACUCCUAUUUAUUUGGCCACUUCAAUUUAGCCUAUAACAUUUUCAAACAUUUUCACAUAGGUCCUAUUUCAUAAUUUCACCCCUUUUUUUCUUAUGGAACAAAAAUUAACUAAAAUUGUCGGGUUCUAUCUUAAGUUUGGGCUUUCUAGAGGCCCACUAACAUAAUUAAACCUAUGCCAACAUUCACAGAAUUCCCAAAAAUUGAGGCGUUACAACUCUACCAUCCUUAAAGAAAUUUCGUCCUCGAAAUUUACCUAAUCCAAACAGAUGAGGGUAUUGUUGUUGCAUCGUCUCUUCUGGCUCCCAAACUUAGAAGUUUCCCCUUCCUUAACUUGUUGAAAACGAGCGACCAAAGACUCAUCGUUCAACUGUAUUUCCUUAAUCUGAUCCACCCAGGUUGGCCUCACUUGCAACUCAGCCAACAGACUUCCAUCAUCAUACAGACUCAGACGAGCAAACAUUGCUCUCAGAUCAGAUACAGCUCUACAACUUAGAGCAUCGGCUACCACAUUAGCCUUGCCUGAGUGAUACUCGAUCGAACAGUCAUAAUCCUUAAGCAACUCAAUCCAUCUCCUUUGCCUAAGGUUCAGCUCCUUCUGAGUCAACAAAUACUUAAGACUCUUGUGGUCUGUGUAUAUAAUACACCUUUCUCCGUACAAGUAAUGUCUCCAAAUCUUAAGUGCAAAUAUCACUGCUGCCAACUCCGUAUUUCUGACACUAACCUAGGCGGCUUCCACUCCAAAAUCGUUUAAAUUUUCCGAGGGUCCACCUUAAUCCCUUCAGCAGAGACCACAUGUCCUAAGAAGGUUACCUCCCUCAACCAAAGUUCAGACUUGCUAAACUUCACAAAGAGUUCCUUCUCCCUUAAUACUUACAGCACUAUACGGAGAUGCUCAUCAUGUUUCGUUUCAGUUUCAGAAUAUACCAGGAUAUCGUCAAUAAAGACGACUACGAACUGAUCCAAAAAUGGUUGGAACACACGAUUCAUCAGAUCCAUAAAUGCUGCAGGAGCGUUCGUCAGUCCAAAUGGCAUAACCAGAAACUCGUAAUGACCAUACCGAGUCUUGAAUGUCGUCUUUUGGAUAUCUGCCUCCUUGACCCUUAACUGAUGAUAUCCAGAUCGAAGGUCGAUCUUGGAAAAUACAGAAGCUCCUCUAAGCUGGUCGAAUAGAUCGUCAAUCCUUGGAAGUUGAUACUUAUUCUUAAUCGUCAGUUUGUUCAACUGGCGAUAAUCAAUGCACAUCCGCAUCGUACCAUCCUUCUUUUUCAUGAAUAGCACUGGUGCUCCCCAUGGAGACAUGCUUGGCCUAAUAAAGCCCCUAUCCAACAACUCUUGAAUUUGAGCAUUUAACUCUACUAACUCCUUCGGUGUCAUCCUAUACGGUGCGAUAGACACAGGCACCAUUCCAGGCAACAAGUCUAUUCCAAACUCAACUUCUCAAUUCGGAGGCAAUCUUGGAAGCUCCUCCGAAAAAAUAUCUUGGAACUCCUUUACGGUCCUAACCUUAUCCACUGUCAGUCCCUUCUCUUCCGACUGACUUACAAAUACCAAUUAGGCCUCACAACUUUUCCGAAUCCACUUUUCGACUCUUAAUGCCGACACCACAUUGGACAAAUAAUCCAUUCUCUCACCUAUCACCAUAACCUCCUCAUCCUUUGUAGUUCUUAACACCAUUCGUUUAGCAGCACAAUCCAGAGUCGCCUUAUGCUUAACAAGCCAAUCCAUUCCCAGAAUGAGGUCAAACUCUCCGAACGGUAACUCCAUUAGAUCUCUAGGAAAAACCUUGCCUUGAGUUUCAAAGGGUACAUUCCUAUACAGUUUGUCUACCCUAAUUGAGUGACCCAAGGGACUUAGUACAGAUACCCCACUCACAAUCUCCUCAGAGCAGUGCAAGUCAUCCAUAAUCCGUUCUGUGGCCUCCAACCAAUAUUCCGCCACAUUCGGGGCUAUACCAGACACGCCCCUAAAGAUCUCCGUUCCGUUAGUCCCGAAGUCAUUCAAAAAUAGAUCCCUGAAUUUUGUUGCUCGAACUUGCUCCGGCAACUCUUUCCAAAACACGAAGCAUUGCCUGUGACAGGGCAUCAUCCUCGGCACCACGGUCAUGAGACUCUACCUCUAUUUCCGGUGGUACCGGUGCAUCCACCGCCGGCAUAUGUCUCAAAGACGAAGAUCUCGCUCGAGCACGUCCUCGACUACGUCCACGGCCUCUUAUACUCAUAUCGUAUUAUCUUGAUUACGAAUUUUUAUGCAUCAAUUAAUAUUCCAGUGUUUAUUACAGAUGUUUUAUGAAUCAGACAGUAGUUCGGAGUUUGUUUUCGCAGAAUCGAAGUCUAGCUACAGUUUCAGUCUCUUAUCAGAUUUUCCUAUGGUUUCAGUAUCAUCCUUUCUAGAGUAUCCUAAUAGGGUUUCAGUACAGAUAGAUAAUUCAGGAAAAUAUUCAGAAAAGUUCAGAGUAAUACUUACAGGCUUGAGCCGGAGAUUCGGAAUACCACAUUCUAAAGAUCUAAAUUUUGAAAACUGCGUUUUUCGCAAUCUUUAUAAAAUUUUUGUUUUCGAAGAUCUAAAUUUUAUAAACCCAUUCCACAGCCGAGCUGUUGUAACCUAGGCUCUGAUACCACUAAAUGUAGCACCCCAAACCCGGCCCAGAAGUUAUGACCGGAUCCUGCAUGCCACAUAAAAAAUGUUAAAAAAAAUUUCCAUUCAAAGUCCAGAAAAUCGUACUUGAUGUUUAAAAGAUUAAUUCAUUAAGGAUUAAAGUGAAUGGAAGCUGUGCACGAGGUAGGAAACCGGAAAAGAGGUGGUGAGUCCAUCGAACUGCUUAAGUACCAAGCUCCCUUCGGAUCCAAUCCUAGACAUGCAUACCGCCAUUGCCACACCUUAAUGUCAUGGAUAUUUCUAGGAAACCGAUUUGAUUAAGUCAUUUUUAGGAAAAUUGAUUAAUUUUGGAAAAUACUUUCAUUGCGGAAGCUUUGCUUGUUGUCGUGUUAUUUCGAAAUCAAUUGUUGUUUUUGAAAACGCACCCUAAAGCUAUCCAAUUUCAACAGUUAAAAUAAGUAUUACCUAUCUUAGUAAUACAUAUUAAAACCAUCAAAAAUAGUUAAGCGGCCUUAUUACAUUUAAAAACCCAAAACUUCAAUCGUAAAUAAAAGGAUGUCCAGUUCACCAGAAGAAAAUCAAACUUUCAGAACGGGUGGUCACUCCGAAUUCCCUCACAGCUCCAAGCCCACUAUGGUUGGGGAUUUCCUGCGUGGAUGAAAAUAAAAGGGGUGAGUUUGGGGAAACUCAGUGUGUAAAUUAACCUAACCAGAGUCUAUAUCAGCUCAAACCACAGAAAUAGAAUAAGUUGGCCUUAGCCCAGAACAGAAUUCAGAAUAAAGCCCAUAGGCCCAUAACAGAACAGAACAGAUAUUACAUGUUUAUGCAGAAACCCAACCAUAUCCAACCGUAUACACCCCCGUACCAACCUUACACCAUGUGGGGAGACAACUCGACCCACCCAACCGCUACACACCACAGAAUUUGCAGCAUGGCUGCCAGAACAGAUAAUGUGACAGAGUCACCAGAUACAGAUAAUCGUGGCAGAGCCACCAGAACAGAUAUAUGUGGCAGAGCCACCAGAUCAGAUAUUUGUGGCAGAGCCACCAGAUCAGAUAUUUGUGGCAGAGCCACCAGAACGCUUCCUCCAUAAUAUAACCCAUGUCCUCAUGCAACAGAUAUAUAAUCAUGGCAUACAUCAUACAGAAUCAGAUCGUCAUGCUUUUCAGUCAAAAUUAACCCUAGGGGUAUAACGGUAAUUUUGCACCUAGGGGUAUAACAGUAAUUUUCCAUACAUAGGGGUAUUAUAGUAAUUUAGCUACUUUUAGGGUUUUCAUGCAUAUCCUAACUAUUUACGUACUAUCAGAACACUUACCGCGCAUACUUACCGAAUUGGGCCCGUUGGCCCAUGAACCCGAUCUUUGGCCCAUUAAGCCCAAAUUAUCAAAAUGUAAGAAAUCGCGCGUACUGCAGUUUAUUACUUUAGAUUACCAAAUAUACAAACCCAACUAUCUUACAAGCAUUCGCACACUCGCAAAUUCCUAAAAUACCGACUUUUCGGCAUUUCGACUUUUCAGCUUUUGCCAAUCUAGUCUAUGAGAGGGUGUCAGUUACACACCUGUUUGCGACGAUAUGCUGACGAGAUCCACACACGAACUGCCUACAAUUGGAUUACUAACACGUUAAUCUAACUAUUCAAAUACAAACUACGUAUUAACCCCUUACAAUAUUCGGCCAACCACACCUACAGAUCAUAGUAAGCUUAUAAGAAAUCAAUAAGCAACUCAUUAACAAAUUUUGUCAAUGUUUACCACAUAAUCAUAAUUUCACUACAAGCUGUCUUCCUGAGCAACAGUCACUAAAUUAUUUAUAACUGGAGCUACGAAACUCCAAAUCAAGUGCCGUUAAUUUUCCCUGAAAAUAGACUCAUAUAUCUUCUAUCCAUAAAAUUUUCAGAAUUUUUUUGUUUAGCCAAUCAAUACCAGAUUUUUCUCAAAGUUUCCCAUGUUUCACUGUUUGACUAAUCUGACCACCCUUCAUUACGAAUCAAAUUUCUCAUUGUACAGAAUUCAAAAUAUGUUCUUGUUUAUUUCAUUAGAAACUAGACUCAAUAAGCUUUAAUUACAUAAUUUAUGCAGCUUCUAACUCAUCUUCCACAAUUUAUGGUGAUUUUCCAAAGUCACGUUACUGCUGCUGUCCCAAGCAGAUUUAUUACCAAAUCACUCUUUCACACCUAACUUGCAUGCUUGUUAUUUAAACAUGUAUAUCACCAAUCAAUCAUCACAUAUCUAUGAUUUUACUUAAGUAUAAUCUCCAUUUCAUCAUUUUAAAGCACAACAUGUUAGCUGAUUUUUCCCUUUAACAUCUAAGGCACAUGCAUGCUUAUUUGUUUGGCUCAACUUCACCUAUCUUCCAUUUUUCAUCAAAAGAACAUGAAACAACAACCAUUUCCUUCAUUUUAAUUCAUGACUAAAUGCUCACAACACAACUAAAAAUCAAAAUAUACUUCAACAGUUAAGGUAGAAUCAAGAAGAACUCAUGAACCUCAAAAUAGAAGCAAGGUACCAAUAACUUACCUUCAAUUUUCCUCCUCCUAAUGACCAAAUACUCAAGAGCUUUCUCCUCUCCUUUCUCUUCUCUAACUUUCAGCUAUGAUGAACAAAGAUGGACAAAACUUUGUUCUUUUCACCCCUUUUUCUUUUAAUAAAACUUCAUAUUUCAUCCAUUUAAUUCUUUAAUACAAAAGACAUGAAAUUC
rnacentral:lncRNA from 1 species